rnacentral:snoRNA from 1 species
CUUCAGUGAUGAUGCGAUGACGAGUCAGAAAGGACAUUGCUUGUCGAAGUGUAGCCUGUUCAGCGCCAUGUUCUUUGACGCUGUCCCUGGGUACCUUCCCAGCAUGUCCUGGUCAUUGGAUGAUUUCGAGGCAUUUGUCUGAGAAGG